GAUGAACGCUGGCGGCGUGCUUAACACAUGCAAGUCGAACGGAAAGGCCCAAGCUUGCUUGGGUACUCGAGUGGCGAACGGGUGAGUAACACGUGGGUGAUCUGCCCUGCACUUCGGGAUAAGCCUGGGAAACUGGGUCUAAUACCGGAUAGGACGAUGGUUUGGAUGCCAUUGUGGAAAGUUUUUUCGGUGUGGGAUGAGCUCGCGGCCUAUCAGCUUGUUGGUGGGGUAAUGGCCUACCAAGGCGUCGACGGGUAGCCGGCCUGAGAGGGUGUACGGCCACAUUGGGACUGAGAUACGGCCCAGACUCCUACGGGAGGCAGCAGUGGGGAAUAUUGCACAAUGGGCGCAAGCCUGAUGCAGCGACGCCGCGGGGGGGAUGACGGCCUUCGGGUUGUAAACUCCUUUCGCUAGGGACGAAGCGUUUUUGUGACGGUACCUGGAGAAGAAGCACCGGCUAACUACGU
rnacentral:rRNA from 1 species